rnacentral:rRNA from 1 species
UUAAGUUAUUAAGGGCGCACGGUGGAUGCCUUGGCACUAGAAGCCGAUGAAGGACGUUACUAACGACGAUAUGCUUUGGGGAGCUGUAAGUAAGCUUUGAUCCAGAGAUUUCCGAAUGGGGAAACCCAGCAUGAGUUAUGUCAUGUUAUCGAUAUGUGAAUACAUAGCAUAUCAGAAGGCACACCCGGAGAACUGAAACAUCUUAGUACCCGGAGGAAGAGAAAGAAAAUUCGAUUCCCUUAGUAGCGGCGAGCGAAACGGGAAGAGCCCAAACCAACAAGCUUGCUGUUGGGGUUGUAGGACACUCUAUACGGAGUUACAAAGGACGACAUUAGACGAAUCAUCUGGAAAGAUGAAUCAAAGAAGGUAAUAAUCCUGUAGUCGAAAAUGUUGUCUCUCUUGAGUGGAUCCUGAGUACGACGGAGCACGUGAAAUUCCGUCGGAAUCUGGGAGGACCAUCUCCUAAGGCUAAAUACUCUCUAGUGACCGAUAGUGAACCAGUACCGUGAGGGAAAGGUGAAAAGCACCCCGGAAGGGGAGUGAAAUAGAACCUGAAACCGUGUGCUUACAAGUAGUCAGAGCCCGUUAAUGGGUGAUGGCGUGCCUUUUGUAGAAUGAACCGGCGAGUUACGAUUUGAUGCAAGGUUAAGCAGUAAAUGUGGAGCCGUAGCGAAAGCGAGUCUGAAUAGGGCGUUUAGUAUUUGGUCGUAGACCCGAAACCAGGUGAUCUACCCUUGGUCAGGUUGAAGUUCAGGUAACACUGAAUGGAGGACCGAACCGACUUACGUUGAAAAGUGAGCGGAUGAACUGAGGGUAGCGGAGAAAUUCCAAUCGAACCUGGAGAUAGCUGGUUCUCUCCGAAAUAGCUUUAGGGCUAGCCUCAAGUGAUGAUUAUUGGAGGUAGAGCACUGUUUGGACGAGGGGCCCCUCUCGGGUUACCGAAUUCAGACAAACUCCGAAUGCCAAUUAAUUUAACUUGGGAGUCAGAACAUGGGUGAUAAGGUCCGUGUUCGAAAGGGAAACAGCCCAGACCACCAGCUAAGGUCCCAAAAUAUAUGUUAAGUGGAAAAGGAUGUGGCGUUGCCCAGACAACUAGGAUGUUGGCUUAGAAGCAGCCAUCAUUUAAAGAGUGCGUAAUAGCUCACUAGUCGAGUGACACUGCGCCGAAAAUGUACCGGGGCUAAACAUAUUACCGAAGCUGUGGAUUGUCCUUUGGACAAUGGUAGGAGAGCGUUCUAAGGGCGUUGAAGCAUGAUCGUAAGGACAUGUGGAGCGCUUAGAAGUGAGAAUGCCGGUGUGAGUAGCGAAAGACGGGUGAGAAUCCCGUCCACCGAUUGACUAAGGUUUCCAGAGGAAGGCUCGUCCGCUCUGGGUUAGUCGGGUCCUAAGCUGAGGCCGACAGGCGUAGGCGAUGGAUAACAGGUUGAUAUUCCUGUACCACCUAUAAUCGUUUUAAUCGAUGGGGGGACGCAGUAGGAUAGGCGAAGCGUGCGAUUGGAUUGCACGUCUAAGCAGUAAGGCUGAGUAUUAGGCAAAUCCGUACUCGUUAAGGCUGAGCUGUGAUGGGGAGAAGACAUUGUGUCUUCGAGUCGUUGAUUUCACACUGCCGAGAAAAGCCUCUAGAUAGAAAAUAGGUGCCCGUACCGCAAACCGACACAGGUAGUCAAGAUGAGAAUUCUAAGGUGAGCGAGCGAACUCUCGUUAAGGAACUCGGCAAAAUGACCCCGUAACUUCGGGAGAAGGGGUGCUCUUUAGGGUUAACGCCCAGAAGAGCCGCAGUGAAUAGGCCCAAGCGACUGUUUAUCAAAAACACAGGUCUCUGCUAAACCGUAAGGUGAUGUAUAGGGGCUGACGCCUGCCCGGUGCUGGAAGGUUAAGAGGAGUGGUUAGCUUCUGCGAAGCUACGAAUCGAAGCCCCAGUAAACGGCGGCCGUAACUAUAACGGUCCUAAGGUAGCGAAAUUCCUUGUCGGGUAAGUUCCGACCCGCACGAAAGGCGUAACGAUUUGGGCACUGUCUCAACGAGAGACUCGGUGAAAUCAUAGUACCUGUGAAGAUGCAGGUUACCCGCGACAGGACGGAAAGACCCCGUGGAGCUUUACUGUAGCCUGAUAUUGAAAUUCGGCACAGCUUGUACAGGAUAGGUAGGAGCCUUUGAAACGUGAGCGCUAGCUUACGUGGAGGCGCUGGUGGGAUACUACCCUAGCUGUGUUGGCUUUCUAACCCGCACCACUUAUCGUGGUGGGAGACAGUGUCAGGCGGGCAGUUUGACUGGGGCGGUCGCCUCCUAAAAGGUAACGGAGGCGCUCAAAGGUUCCCUCAGAAUGGUUGGAAAUCAUUCAUAGAGUGUAAAGGCAUAAGGGAGCUUGACUGCGAGACCUACAAGUCGAGCAGGGUCGAAAGACGGACUUAGUGAUCCGGUGGUUCCGCAUGGAAGGGCCAUCGCUCAACGGAUAAAAGCUACCCCGGGGAUAACAGGCUUAUCUCCCCCAAGAGUUCACAUCGACGGGGAGGUUUGGCACCUCGAUGUCGGCUCAUCGCAUCCUGGGGCUGUAGUCGGUCCCAAGGGUUGGGCUGUUCGCCCAUUAAAGCGGUACGCGAGCUGGGUUCAGAACGUCGUGAGACAGUUCGGUCCCUAUCCGUCGUGGGCGUAGGAAAUUUGAGAGGAGCUGUCCUUAGUACGAGAGGACCGGGAUGGACAUACCUCUGGUGUACCAGUUGUCGUGCCAACGGCAUAGCUGGGUAGCUAUGUGUGGACGGGAUAAGUGCUGAAAGCAUCUAAGCAUGAAGCCCCCUCAAGAUGAGAUUUCCCAACUUCGGUUAUAAGAUCCCUCAAAGAUGAUGAGGUUAAUAGGUUCGAGGUGGAAGCAUGGUGACAUGUGGAGCUGACGAAUACUAAUCGAUCGAAGACUUAAUCAA